AUACUUCCUCAGCUGCCUCUCUUUCUCAGUCAUCAUCCGUGGCUGCCAGGAGAGUAGAUUUCUGCUCUGGGAAUCGGAAGGGUCACUGGAGUGUUGACCGAGCACCGACAAUGCGGCCAACGUGUAUAUUCUUAGAUGCUAUGCACACAUAUUAGUGCCUGUUUACUGUAAUGGCCAUCAUUUUUUCUUGAUCCGCAUGAAGGAUUUUCAGGAGCUGGGCACUGAUCUCAGGAAGCCGGAUUUUCUUCAUAUACCUCAGCCAAAACAACAUAUCGCAACAGAUUGAAUGCAUAGACAGAUCUGAGAAUUCAUUUGUCUUCUAUCAAGCCAGACUUUAAAGAAAUUUCCCCACUAAAAACCAGUAAA